GAAAACGGAACAGGGGACCCACGGCAACAUUAGGUUGCGCAUGUGUAACAAGCUGUGAAAACGAAACACAUCUCAGGACAGAAUCAGCGCCCGGGCGGUGGCGUGGGACUUCAGCGAGCGAAGCAGUGAAACCUACCAGAACUGGAGGCACCGUGGUGGGAAAUAUGGCGCUAUCGCUGGGUCCCAAAAGGAAGCCUUGAUCCAAAAUGCUUUCAUCCUGCUUACUGCAAAACGACGAGGAGUUGAGAGACACCAACACCGGCUCCUCCUGUGGCCAGAAGAAAAGGCACCACAUGGCAGUCCAUGACAUCCAGGGCCAAAGAUUUCCGCACUUUCUUCAUAGGAGGCCGAUGCUGGGAAGAAAAACAACAAUUGAAAGCUGAGUUAACAGCUUCAACCAGAACGUCAACAAAGAAGUCACGGUCUAAAGAUACAACAGGUUCGGGGUCUGAGGCUGAGACAACACAGCGGAGCAAAGAUCGUCAGUGCUGCAGUGGUGAAGCCGUGAGGCGGACCCAUCCCUCCCCGCUGAGCGGCGCGGAUACUCACCAGCGGCUGCAGCGGCCCGUACUUCUCCAUGGCGUUCUUGAACGGCGUCGGAGUCCGCGGGGUCGAACAGAGGUCAGACUUGUGGUUGGGUGUGACGAAUCUAAAAUGAAGACGAAAGGCGAACACACAGACACGUAAGCUUGAAGCCAGCGAUACAUCGAAUUCAGGCCUCAUUUGUGUUCACAACAUACAAACUCUAAAUGAGACGAAAAGAUACAUCAACAGAUUCGAUGCGCUGGCGGUUCAUCACACGCACAACACUGGUGUUACAGAGCAAUGUCGGUUUCAAACUGGGACCGUUACAAAGCCAGUUAAAAGCUUCUCACGGAAACAGAUAUUUUGUUCAUUCCAAACUGGAUCCAAAAUGCAACAAGCUACCGGGAGCAAACGCUUGAGACCACUCACGCAGAGU